rnacentral:rRNA from 1 species
UCCUAGGGAGGCAGCAGCGGGGAAUCUUGCGCAAUGGGCGAAAGCCUGACGCAGCGACGCCGCGUGAGUGAUGAAGGCCUUCGGGUUGUAAAGCUCUGUGGGGAGAGAAGAAUUAGUAGAGGCUAAUACCCUCUAUGAUGACGGUAUCUCCUUAGCAAGCACCGGCUAACUCUGUGCCAGCAGCCGCGGUAAGACAGAGGGUGCGAGCGUUAAUCGGAAUUACUGGGCGUAAAGCGCGCGUAGGUGGUUCGUUAAGUUGGAUGUGAAAUCCCCGGGCUCAACCUGGGAACUGCAUUCAAAACUGACGAGCUAGAGUAUGGUAGAGGGUGGUGGAAUUUCCUGUGUAGCGGUGAAAUGCGUAGAUAUAGGAAGGAACACCAGCGGCGAAGGCGACCACCUGGACUGAUAC